rnacentral:rRNA from 1 species
ACGGAAGGCAGCAGUGGGGAAUUUUGGGCAAUGGAGGCAACUCUGACCCAGCAACGCCGCGUGAGCGAUGAAGGUCUUCGGAUCGUAAAGCUCUGUCCUUGAGGACGAAUAAAUGACGGUACUCUUGGAGGAAGCCCCGGCUAACUACGUGCCAGCAGCCGCGGUAAUACGUAGGGGGCGAGCGUUAUCCGGAAUUAUUGGGCGUAAAGAGUACGUAGGUGGUUUUGUAAGCGUAGGGUGAAAGCCCGGGGCUCAACUCCGGUUAGCCCUACGAACUGCAAGACUUGAGUGCAGGAGGGGAAAGUGGAAUUCCUGGUGUAGCGGUGAAAUGCGUAGAUAUCAGGAGGAACACCGGUGGCGAAGGCGACUUUCUGGACUGUAACUGACACUGAGGUACGAAAGCGUGGGGAGCAAACAGGAUUAGAUACCCUGGUA